GGCAGUCAAGCGGGCAUGCGCGUAAAACGUUCCUAGUCGUUUGCUUAUUACUGAGCAUGCGCGAGCUGACUGGCGUUUUAAUUCUCCUCCCAGUCAUCAGGCGGUGCUUGUUACCUUGUUGACGGAGGCGUGUUCCCGCAGUGCCAGAUCCCAGAAGCGGCAUCCUAUCUGGUUGCCACACUGACCCACUAUGAGACCUGAGGAUAGGAAGUAUAUUGCUGACCUUCACCCUUACCCCAGUGCAGAGGGUGAAAUGAAGCAGAAGCAAAGCUUGAUUGCAUACACAAGUUGAUUGGAAGAGACAGCCUUGACCUUUCAUGCUAUUCCCCUAAAUAAUCCCACCAAAUAAAUGCAUUAACUCUGUUCUACCUGUAUACAGGCUCUGUAUCUUGUACAGAAGCAUGAGAAUGGAUGUUCUUGUGUUUCCCCCCAUAACAGUCAAGUGUCUCUAAGUUUCAAAUAAAUGGGUGAAGCUUCUUUGCUCU